UUGUUUGUUUUUUCUUGUUUUCUCUCCUCUCUCUCUUUGAUAAUGUCUACUCCUAAUCAUUCCAAAUACUUAGUGGUUUCUUUCCUCACUUUAUCCGUAUUUUUGAAAUAAGGUUUCUGGAGCAGAACACAACAGCUUGCAGACGUGGGGAAACCUAUGCAUACUCCAGUGCAUGAUCUGAACUUGAGACACCUGGCUUCCAGAUGUCCUAGAGCUCUUCAAGGUGCGCCACCAGGCAGCAGUUCUCAGCCAUACACCUGGAGUGCAAGGGAUCGAAUCCAAGAUCUCGUGCAUGCCAAGCACACAUUCUCCACUGAGCGACACCCCAGCCACUUUUGAACUUUUGGCCCAAAAUAAUUGCUGGAGCUGCCCCAAGAUGGUAUUUCCACACUGUAUAGAAUAACUUUCCUGAAGACUCCAGGAAGGCAAGACCUUGCUCUGUCAGGCACACGUAGGCGGCACUGGACAAGAGUGCAGCCCCAUGAAAAGAAGCCCAGCAGAAUUCCAGAAGGCCGAACUCCUCUGUGCGGAAGUCUGCUUGGCAGCUCAACGUCUUGAUCCAUUUCUGCAUACAGGAAAUGCUCGUAAGGAGGUGUUCGAGCCACAUGUCCUGGCCCUCAGGGAUGUGGUUCCACAAGUCUGUGUUAGAGUCAGGUUCCCGUACCCAGUGUCUUAUGGGAGAAAGGCAGAAGAUUUGUACUCUGACGUUGUCGUGUUGCUGAUGAAGACGAACAGAAGACACAAGGACACUGUCAUUCUCUGGGAAGGCACCUUGUGGGUGCAUCUGAAGGGCAGCCUCAGGUUCUAUGAGUAUCUCUUUCUGUUCCUUUGGGGGCACUAUGAGCUGGGGUUACAGAGCUAUGCAGACUGGCCACGUGGAGAGAUUCACCUGAUUAGCUGUGAAAAAGGGGACCCACAUCAGAGCAAGAGGCUGCCAGGCCAUCGCUGCCUGCUCUACCUGGGGGACUUGUCUCACUGUCAGAGUGACUUCCUAGACCUGGCCACCAUGGACUUGGCUGAGAGAUGCUGUGGCCCAAAACAUGGGGGUGCCCUUCAGCCAGCUGGGGGCGCUGGUAAGUACUAUGUUGCCUCUACUGGAAAGUGCUUUUUUGGGAGGCAGCUUGGAACCUCAAACUGGCCUAUGAUCCUGUGGGGAAGCCUUACUGCUAUCCAAAAAGGUACCAGGGAAAGAAACUGUCUGGCAUCCAGAGGCACCCUUAGGACGGCCAACGACUUCUGGUUAGUGCUCUCUACCUUCAGAGUCUCCUGCAGCCUCAGAGGAGAUUCAGGGCGGCCCAGCUGGUAGCCUGUGCCAGUUGGUUUUGGAAGACUUUUGCCUCUGUCUUUCCCAUGGGCUGUGUCCACGUGAUCCGUGCCAGGCUUUCACAGAGGGAAAGUCCUCGAGGCUCCUCAUCCUCCACGUGGUGGACCUCUGCCUGGGGCAUGUGCACCACCUGUGGAAAACAGGCUCAAAGCAGCACAAACCAGUGGGCUUCUUUACCUUGACCCUUUUCUCUCACCUAAUUCAGCCUGUGAAUACGAGGAUCCAGGGCGAGCUCCAGUGAGGGAAAUCAAGUCCGGAAAUGGCUGUCUGCAAUGAUAGGAGGCCAGCAGAAAGCAACUGAAGAGAGGCACCCAGACUUUCCAGCCCUCAGUGCCUGGCACAGGUGGCCUGUGUUUCAAGUGAGGGCUACCCUCCUUGGGGCCACUUUCCACUUCUGCUGUGACUCCCAUGAGAUGGAGGAGGAGGAGGAAGACAAAUCCUUAAAGUCCCAGAUCUGCUCAGAAGUGAAUAGGGCCACUUCCUGUUCAGAUGUAAGUGAUAAAGGAGAAGGUGGCUUCCUGAAUCCAGACACAAUCCCAGAGAGGGGAGCCACACCCAAGUAUGAAGCUGACCGUGCCGAGGAGAAAACGAAGGCACACAAACCUUCCAACAGCUUGCAGGAUCUCUUAAGAACAGCUCUUUCUGCCAGCCUGUCUAUGCCAGUGAAAUAAAAGUGUCAAGGGACACAGGGCUCGCAUUUGGCUCCUGUCUUCAGUCGCUUCGUCCUUCUGAACUGACUCCAAUGGUCCCUCCCCAGCACUGAGGAUGACAUGAGCAGCUUUCUAGACAUCAAGUUCCACACCAGUUCCUGUAUGAGGCAGGGCACCUCCAUCAGCCAGUUACCCAACCAUCCCCAGAUCAUUCAGGAGAAGCUGAAGGUCCUGUCCACAGAGGGGCUGCUGCCCGUCCUCAAGGUCAUUCCAGGCUGGCUCCACACCAACCACUGCCUCCUCACCUCAUGGUAGCAGAGUCCACUGAGUCUGGACCACCUGUGUGCACUGCUGAACCUGCUGCCCUUGGUGGGAGGGCUCCAGCAGCUGGACCUGGGCCUGUCCCCCCAUAUCCAUCACCUGCUGCUGAGUUGUUGAGGCCCACAGAGCCCCACAUUCCCAUAGCUGCCUGAGAUCAUUGCCCUGUUCCAGUGUUCUCCAUCUUGGGCUUCCUGGGUCAGGGUGGGCUCGCAGCAGGUCCACCUGCACUCAGCAUCCAAGAUGAGGCUGCUGUGCGCAUCUGUUUCCUCCACAGCUUUGGCCACUUGGCUGCUAGACUCCCUGGACAGUUCCUGAGGUUCUACUCUAAUGUGGGUGUCUUUGUGAACAGUAUUGUUGAAAGACUAGAAGUCCCAUUGUGGCAGCUUCUAGAGAGAACUUCAAGGAUCUGGCUUUCCAAAGAUGUCAUCCAGCUCUGGCUUCAACAUGAAGUGUCACUGCUAGAGAAGAUCCUUCAUGGCUCCCAGACUCAGUCAGCUUUGACAUCUUACCUGUUCGCUGACCCCAGGGCCUUCUGUGAGCAUCUUCCAGUCCUCCAGCAGCUCACCUCCAGUGAGAAAUUCUUAUUAUACCUAGGAUUGUGGUGGACACAUCACCUAAGGAGAGAGGACCGCAGGGCCUUGGCAGCCAUCACUUCCCUGAAAUGAGAUGAGAGGGAACCAGUACAUUCUCUGCCAGUCCUUUGUGUCCAAGAGGUUGAUGAGGCCCAGGAUGACCAGGCCAUUCCCCAAUGCCUGAGACCUCUAUAAUAUUCUUGACUUCUGCAAAGGUCUGCUGGACUCAACCAGGCCAGCAACACCUGAUCCCAGCAGCAUGGUAGCUGUCAUCACUGGUCUCUGAUUGGACAACCCUAAACAUUUCUCAUAGCCUCUGAGGUUGGUGUUGGGGAGAGCUGGUAUGGAAAUCAAGAAUAUUCUGUGCUUCACAGAGACCAGAAGGGAUCUGCUAACAGCUUCACAUCUCCGUGGCCACAUCUCUCUUCUUUCUCUACCUUAUGCAUUUAUGGGUCUAACUCAGUAUGUUCCUCUGUCCUGUAAGCCCCUAAUGUUAAGGUGCCAUUGUGUGAGUGUCUGUGCCUACACACAAGGAGAGCUUCGGUGUUGCAACUGGAGGCCUUCUGGUUGCCUUCAUUGUCAUCUUGGCUGGUAUCAACCAGGUUCUCUCUGGAAAAUCCUCAAGUUACUGAUUCAUGUUCAGUGUUUUAUGGCAAGGCAGGGAAGCCAGAAAGUGCUCCCCAGGGCAGUGCUAACUCCUGAAUGCUCUGCAAUUUGCUUAGCUUUGUUUUGUGAUGUGAAAACUUUACAUUUAAUGUUGUUUUAUUAUGAUGGGACCAUACCUACCACCAACGGCAGGUGUCUGCUACCUGAGAAAGUCAAUUAACAUAGAGCUAAAAUUUCUGACUGUGGUGAUGGGUUCUUAUUGUGAGUCCUCGUCAUGACUUCCUGCUCUAUUUUAUUGCAGAUUUUCACUUUUGAGUGGAACUGAGUUACUAGUCUAUACUACCAAAGAAUGAUUUUUAGUUUUUAUCUUUUUGUUGCUUCUAAGCAUGAUAACAGGAGCUCCAAGGAUUCCCUGGGAAUGUGCAUUUCAUGGUACAAUGUUAGCAUUUUUUCCUAUAAAAAUUUCCGUUUUUAAAUUCUCACCGCUCCCCUCCACUGCCCUGUCCUUCCCUCUCUUGUCCUGCCCCUGCCCCUUUCCUUUCCCUGUUGCUCCUCAUCACUCCUCGCCCCUCUCAUUCCCAGAUAUCUCUGGAGACUUCUUCCUAACCUACUUUAUGCAUUCCCCAGGGAAUAGCAGUUCUCCUACAAUGAGUGGAAACUGGGGGCGCCUCCAGUCAGUGUUGGGUGAAUGUUAAAAUCAUGGUCACUCUGACAGAAAGACAUUAAACACAUUGCCAUCCUUGUCCUCCUCCCGGCCGGCCGGCCCUCAGUGCAGUCCCCUGAUAAACCAGCACCUCCCAAGGUCAAACUUUAUACACGUUCAGAACUCCCAGCUGAUGAUGAGGUGCUGGAGUCCUCUGGGUGUCGCAGUGUGCCUCACCAAGCCUCAGUCUAGCUGUGCUCCAUGUAAGCAGAGAAACCCUGUGCUUGGCUUUUGCUCCUGGAUUUCGUCAUAGUUCUCAUUGUCCUGAGCUGAGCCUUUGUGUUUCCAUUAAUCUGUCACUUCCCUGUCUAGGUAUUUUCAAAUUUUUGGAAAAUUUCAAAAAACUAAAGAAAAAAGUAAAAGUACAAAUGUCCUUUCACCCCAAUAUUAACACUUUUGUUUUUAGUUAUGUCUUAUCGUGUUUAUUUGGCAUAUAUAUUUUUUCUCUAGCUGCAGAUAUAUUGGGUAAGAAUCCUUUUAGCCUACUUUUAUUUAAGCUAUAUUAUUGCGUUAUCUUCAUUGUU